rnacentral:rRNA from 1 species
CCUACGGGAGGCAGCAGUAGGGAAUCUUCCGCAAUGGGCGAAAGCCUGACGGAGCAACGCCGCGUGAGUGAAGAAGGAUUUCGGUUCGUAAAGCUCUGUUGUUAGGGAAGAAUGAUUGUGUAGUAACUAUACACAGUAGAGACGGUACCUAACCAGAAAGCCACGGCUAACUACGUGCCAGCAGCCGCGGUAAUACGUAGGUGGCAAGCGUUGUCCGGAAUUAUUGGGCGUAAAGCGCGCGCAGGUGGUUUAAUAAGUCUGAUGUGAAAGCCCACGGCUCAACCGUGGAGGGUCAUUGGAAACUGUUAAACUUGAGUGCAGGAGAGAAAAGUGGAAUUCCUAGUGUAGCGGUGAAAUGCGUAGAGAUUAGGAGGAACACCAGUGGCGAAGGCGGCUUUUUGGCCUGUAACUGACACUGAGGCGCGAAAGCGUGGGGAGCAAACAGGAUUAGAUACCCCAGUAGUC